rnacentral:tRNA from 1 species
AGCUUAAUAGCAACUUGAUUUCGACUUAAGUUAUGGAUUAUAUAGUGAAAUUC